GUUUUCCCAAAACAUAAUUCAUUUCCCGCUUCUCUCCCUUCCCCUUCUUCUGUUCUCUGCUUUUCCUUGAAUUUUAUUUUCAUUUUCCCAUUUCUCCUCCUUCCCCUCUCUGGUUCUGUGCUCCUCCCCUUUCAUUGGUUUCUAAUAAGGUUGUUGUUCCCCCACCGUCGUUGUCAAUGCCUCCUCACGAACUGAGCGCUCCACCGCCGACGUCGUUGUUGACAUGGUGGUGUUGUUCUUGUUGCUGGUGUUAGGUUGCCGGUCUCCCUUGCUCCUCUCCUCGUCCUUAUGUAUUUGCUCCCCUGAGCCACUGCAGCCCUGCCACCUUGUCCUCGACCACCGUCUCCCACCUAUCCUUGGCCACCGUCUCCGAUCUUCUCCUCUGCGCCGUUUUCUGGAGAGCUUACUAGGAGUGUCUGUCAAUUUUUCAGCGAGUCACUAAGCACUUUUCUCAAUUACUCGGUUGAUUUUGAACAAUCAUAGCAAUCUCUAAAGAUCGUGUCAGACCAUCUCCAAGCCCUAACAGCUGGAAACUGAAUGAGAUUUUUGUUACUGGUUGUGUCAUCGGGGGAUAUCUCGCCUUAGUCACUUUGUUAUUUUACUGGGUCGUAAAUGACACAGAUUUCUCCGAGGAUAAUUUGGGUGUGAGCUCUCUACCUGGAAACACAGAGAAAACUUCAUCUGCAAUAUAUAUGCAAGUUAGCAACAUUAGCCAUGCCCUCAUCUUUAUUACUCGCACUCAGAGCUGGUCAUUUCUGGAGAGAGCUGGAGUUCUUCUCAUGUCUGCAUUCGUGGUGGCGCAAUUGGUAUUCAAUAAUCCGAGGGAGCGGCCUUUCACCUUUGAGGAGAUAGAUGAAGUUCGAGAAAUGUUGGCAAACUUCAUUACCAGUGAUUGUCUUUGAUAUUUUAUUGUACUGAAUCUUAAAUUAUGGAUGCUAGCUAGUUUUUCAUAUGAUUGUAAUGUAAUCGACUUUUAUAUUUACAAUUAUAUACUAUUUAUUUUAAUUAUCUAUAUAAUUGGAUACUUUUUAUAUGACCUAUGGAGGUUAAUCA